ACAGCGUUUAAAGCUGAUGAGAUUUAAGAUUAACUUACAACCUGAACUUUGACAUUCAGCCGACAACGACAUCACGCAAACUCUGGAAUGACAGACUAUAGAACAAAGGCGGAUAACCCUUAGACUUUGACAUUCUGCCGACAACGACAACAUGCAAACUCUGGGAGAGCAGACUAUAGAACAAAGGCGGAUAACCCUUAGACUUUGGCAUUCUGCCGACAACGACA
rnacentral:lncRNA from 1 species